rnacentral:rRNA from 1 species
GUGCCAGCAGCCGCGGUAAUACGUAGGUGGCAAGCGUUGUCCGGAUUUAUUGGGCGUAAAGCGAGCGCAGGCGGUUUCUUAAGUCUGAUGUGAAAGCCCCCGGCUCAACCGGGGAGGGUCAUUGGAAACUGGGAGACUUGAGUGCAGAAGAGGAGAGUGGAAUUCCAUGUGUAGCGGUGAAAUGCGUAGAUAUAUGGAGGAACACCAGUGGCGAAGGCGGCUCUCUGGUCUGUAACUGACGCUGAGGCUCGAAAGCGUGGGGAGCGAACAGGAUUAGAUACCCUGGUAGUCCACGCCGUAAACGAUGAGUGCUAAGUGUUGGAGGGUUUCCGCCCUUCAGUGCUGCAGCAAACGCAUUAAGCACUCCGCCUGGGGAGUACGACCGCAAGGUUGAAACUCAAAGGAAUUGACGGGGGCCCGCACAAGCGGUGGAGCAUGUGGUUUAAUUCGAAGCAACGCGAAGAACCUUACCAGGUCUUGACAUCCUUUGACCACUCUAGAGAUAGAGCUUCCCCUUCGGGGGCAAAGUGACAGGUGGUGCAUGGUUGUCGUCAGCUCGUGUCGUGAGAUGUUGGGUUAAGUCCCGCAACGAGCGCAACCCUUAUUGUUAGUUGCCAUCAUUUAGUUGGGCACUCUAGCGAGACUGCCGGUGACAAACCGGAGGAAGGUGGGGAUGACGUCAAAUCAUCAUGCCCCUUAUGACCUGGGCUACACA